AAUAGAGAGGCAACAAAUGGAAAGGAAAGGGAAGAAAGGAGAAAAAAGAAGAACAUUCGGAGAGUUCUUGAGAGUUGAGUGGGAAGACUUUGGGAUCUUCUCUCUCUCUCUCUCUCUUUUUCUGUCUC
rnacentral:ribozyme from 1 species